UUUUAGUGCAGUUUUGCACUAUUCACAUUCAACGUUUGACCAUUCGUCUUAUUUGAACUUUUUUUAUGAUUAGUAUUUCUAUUACUAUCAGAUGAUAAAACAUGGAUAGUACUUUAUAUGUGACUAAAUAUUUUUAAUUUUUUCACAACCUUUUCAAAUAAGACGGACGGUCAAACGUUGGGCAUGGAUAUCCACGGCUACACUUAUU
rfam:Oryza sativa (indica cultivar-group) chromosome 3, whole genome shotgun sequence.